AGGAUGAACGCUGGCGGCGUGCUUAACACAUGGCAAGUCGAACGAAGCACGUUUAGUUGAUUUCUUCGGAUUGAUUCUAAGGUGACUUAGUGGCGACGGGUGAGUAACGCGUGGGUAACCUGCCUGUACAGGGGGAUAACAGUUAGAAAUGACUGCUAAUACCGCAUAACCCGCUAAGGUCGCAUGACCUAGACGGAAAAGAUUUAUCGGCUGAAAGAUGGGCUCGCGUCCGAUUAGGUAGUUGGUGAGGUAACGGCUCACCAAGCCGACGAUCGGUAGCCGGACUGAGAGGUUGAACGGCCACAUUGGGACUGAGACACGGCCCAGACUCCUACGGGAGGCAGCAGUGGGGAAUAUUGCACAAUGGGCGAAAGCCUGAUGCAGCAACGCCGCGUGAGGGAUGACGGUUUUCGGAUUGUAAACCUCUGUUUUUGGCCAUGAAAAAAAUGACUAGCCAAGGUAGGAAGCCACGGCUAACUACGUG
rnacentral:rRNA from 1 species